rnacentral:rRNA from 1 species
GAUGAACGCUGGCGGCGUGCUUAACACAUGCAAGUCGAACGAAGCACUUUAUUUGAUUUCCUUCGGGAUUGAUUAUUUUGUGACUGAGUGGCGGACGGGUGAGUAACGCGUGGGUAACCUGCCUUGUACAGGGGGAUAACAGUUGGAAACGGCUGCUAAUACCGCAUAAGCGCACAGCAUCGCAUGAUGCAGUGUGAAAAACUCCGGUGGUAUAAGAUGGACCCGCGUUGGAUUAGCUAGUUGGUGAGGUAACGGCCCACCAAGGCGACGAUCCAUAGCCGACCUGAGAGGGUGACCGGCCACAUUGGGACUGAGACACGGCCCAAACUCCUACGGGAGGCAGCAGUGGGGAAUAUUGCACAAUGGGCGAAAGCCUGAUGCAGCGACGCCGCGUGAGCGAAGAAGUAUUUCGGUAUGUAAAGCUCUAUCAGCAGGGAAG